UGGGAGGUCUUCAGAAUGCAGCUAGCAUUUCCUCUCUCCCAUUUGGCCACUAUUUGAUUUCUCAGAGUGCUUCUGCCUGAAGAUUCAUAGGAACUGAAUUCCCUCAGUGACUCCUGGGAAGCGUGGAACCCAUGAUUACAGUAGGGGGUCUACAGUGUGAGCUGCCAGAACAGAGAUUCUCAUGCCCCAGGUGACACAGCUCAGCAGUGCCAAGAAGAGCUCAAGUAGCCCCUGAUCAUUCUCCU
ensembl:lincRNA